ACUUUCCCCACGCGAAUCAAGGACUGGAAUAAGUGUGCGGUUUACUUCUUCGAUUCAUCUGCUUGAUGGCAGCUCAACGAGAGCCAAGGUUUUAAUGGGGUGAAUUCAAUAGUAGCUGAUCUUGUAAAGCUAAAGCCCAAAGAACUGUUGAAUUCAAGUGCAGUAAGAGGGUUCACAUAUUAUCCAAGUCAACAUGGCUUUGCUGCUGAGCUUGUUCGAAUUAGGAAGGGCAGUG